rnacentral:rRNA from 1 species
AACAGGAUUAGAUACCCUGGGUAGUCCACGCCGUAAACGAUGUCGACUUGGAGGUUGUUCCCUUGAGGAGUGGCUUCCGGAGCUAACGCGUUAAGUCGACCGCCUGGGGAGUACGGCCGCAAGGUUAAAACUCAAAUGAAUUGACGGGGGCCCGCACAAGCGGUGGAGCAUGUGGUUUAAUUCGAUGCAACGCGAAGAACCUUACCUACUCUUGACAUCCAGCGAACUUGGCAGAGAUGCCUUGGUGCCUUCGGGAACGCUGAGACAGGUGCUGCAUGGCUGUCGUCAGCUCGUGUUGUGAAAUGUUGGGUUAAGUCCCGCAACGAGCGCAACCCUUAUCCUUUGUUGCCAGCGAUUCGGUCGGGAACUCAAAGGAGACUGCCGGUGAUAAACCGGAGGAAGGUGGGGAUGACGUCAAGUCAUCAUGGCCCUUACGAGUAGGGCUACACACGUGCUACAAUGGCGCAUACAAAGAGAAGCGACCUCGCGAGAGCAAGCGGACCUCAUAAAGUGCGUCGUAGUCCGGAUCGGAGUCUGCAACUCGACUCCGUGAAGUCGGAAUCGCUAGUAAUCGUGGAUCAGAAUGCCACGGUGAAUACGUUCCCGGGCCUUGUACACACCGCCCGUCACACCAUGGGAGUGGGUUGCAAAAGAAGUAGGUAGCUUAACCUUCGGGAGGGCGCUUACCACUUUGUGAUUCAUGACUGGGGUGAAGUCGUAACAAGGUAGC